rnacentral:rRNA from 1 species
CUGCUGCUGGAUCAUU